GAGGAAUAUUGGUCAAUGGACGCAAGUCUGAACCAGCCAUGCCGCGUGCAGGAAGACGGUCCUAUGGAUUGUAAACUGCUUUUGUACGGGAAGAAACACUCCUACGUGUAGGAGCCUGACGGUACCGUAAGAAUAAGGAUCGGCUAACUCCGUGCCAGCAGCCGCGGUAAUACGGAGGAUCCAAGCGUUAUCCGGAAUCAUUGGGUUUAAAGGGUCCGUAGGCGGUUUAAUAAGUCAGUGGUGAAAUCUGGUCGCUCAACGAUCAAACUGCCAUUGAUACUGUUAGACUUGAAUUACUGUGAAGUAACUAGAAUAUGUAGUGUAGCGGUGAAAUGCUUAGAUAUUACAUGGAAUACCAAUUGCGAAGGCAGGUUACUAACAGUUGAUUGACGCUGAUGGACGAAAGCGUGGGGAGCGAACA
rnacentral:rRNA from 1 species